GUAAUGAUAAAAGGCCUUUUGGUCAGCUACUGAAUCGUACCAGACGAAAGGGAUGGAGAUCUGAAAGAAACAGAGCAAUACAUGUGGGUCGUGAAAGAGGGUUAGAUCUGUAGAUCCAUCAAAUCAGACAGUAAACAGGGUCUGUGAUAGUUGUUGGGUUUUUGCUAUUCUUCUCUUCUUUUUCUUGAGAGAAGAUGAAGAAGAUGGAUAAUAGAUAAAGAGGGGAAAUUGAAGAGCAAUAAGUAGCAGUAACAAAUAAAAAUAAAAGGAAUAAAAAAAAAACCAACAAAAAAAUAAAUAAAUAAAUAAAGCUUUGAGUGUGAUUGAACAAACUGAAACUCUCUCUCUUUGUAGUCCCUUUUGGUCUUUCUCAGCACUGAGCAGACAAACCCUAUAAAAGAAAACGAACAAAGCGAUGGCCGAGAGCCAGCAAUGCAAAUGGGCAGCCAUGGGCUCCACUUAUAAUCACAGCCAGACAAGCUAGUUUGUUCAUACAGCUUGAGUCUUGACAGAAUAAAUAAAUUUAUUUAAUUAAUUAAUUAUUAAAAAAAAAAAAAAAAAACCCUUCCGCUAAAAAUGCCCUUCAACUAAAU
rnacentral:lncRNA from 1 species